rnacentral:sRNA from 1 species
UUUUCUGGACCACAAGACAUUAUAUUAUGAUGUGGAGCCCUUCCUGUUCUAUGUUAUGACAGAGGCGGACAACACUGGCUGUCACCUGAUUGGAUAUUUUUCCAAGGAAAAGAAUUCAUUCCUCAACUACAACGUAUCCUGUAUCCUUACUAUGCCUCAGUACAUGAGACAGGGCUAUGGCAAGAUGCUUAUUGAUUUCAGUAAGUGAAACUGCUAAGUCAUUAGUUCCACAAGGCAGGGACCAUGUGAAUAUUGUUUGUCUUUUUGUCCUGUGGUCUCUGCAAUUCCUGGAAUGUAGUGGAGGUACAUGGAUAUUUAGUAAAUGAAUGAACAAGUAGGAAAAACGUGAACAUUGUCUUUCUGCCUGAUACACAUUGAACAUUGAAGGAGUACUCCUCCUUAAUGAGUAGGAGGUACAGAGGAUGAUAAAGUAAGCUCUUUAGGAUUAUCUCAGUUUGAGACUUUUAAACAGCACAUUACAUGCAUGAGGCUUAAAAUCUGUUCCUUGAUGCUAGGGAUUUCACUUUUGUAGGGACUUGUCUAG